ensembl:lncRNA
GAGAGAGAGAGAGAGAGAGAGAGAGAGAGAGAGAGAGAGAGAGAGAGAAGGAGGGGGAGAGCCCGGGUAUAAAGGGAGGGAGACGUGAUCGGAGAGAGAUAGAGAGCUCAGGAUGAACCACCGAGGAUCAAUGAUCAGCUGCUGCUGCCUGGCGCUGCUCGUGCUCGCGGCCGCGGCUCAGGAGCCCUGCCGCGCGGCCACGUGCAGCCAGGAGCUUCCCGCUGAUUUUGUGAGAGAAGUGUGGAGGAAAACGAAGGACCUGAUCAGCUCUCUGCCGAAUGAAGACUCCGGGCGCUUAAGACUGCUCCCUUUCUACUGCACCAACACGUCUAUCUGCCCUCAGUGUCUGGGCUGGUCUGAGGUUGGUCAUGUGAUCAGGGUUUACCAGAAGAGAGUCUUUCGUAGGGAUGUCAUCAAGAAGCUCCUCCCGGACCACUUCCAUGCACUCCUGCAUCGCCUCGACAAAACCCUACACGACUGUGCUCAGUGUCCGAAACGCUCCAAAGAAGUCCUUCAGUUUGAGAAGAAAAUCAAGAGGUUCCUGAGGAAGAGGAGGGAGGAAGGUGUGUUCAAGGCGGUGAGAGAGUUCCCCUUCGUCCUCCGAUGGGUCGAUGAGUUGAGGGAAACUCUUCAUCAUUGUUCCUGAUGAGGGGGACUCCAGAGUCCCUGAUGAUGAAUCAUUCAAUCUAUUUAUUUUAUUAGGUUUUAAAAAGCAGUAUUCAAUAUUUUUUUAUUUAUUUUAUUUAAUUGUCAAUGAAUAAAUUAUUAUUUUUAUCGGUUCUGUAUUUAAAAGUUUUGAUACAAUACAAUUUUAUAUGAAAUACAUGCUGUUGUCUCCUUCUUCUGGCAGAACUUUGCCACUACAAGUUAUACUACAGUUUUUGCCCGUUGCUUGAACCCGUUUUGCAAAACUUUGAAACUCAACACACAAGCAAAUAAGACACAACACUUAGAAAUAUACCAUUCACAUCUGCGUCAAAUUGAAACUCUGCUAUCGAAACCUAACACUCCUUUGUCAAAAUGUCACUGAUGACAAAAUGAUACACACUAGACUUUCGGAUCAGCAGCAAUGUACUAGUCUACUUUACAUUAAACACUGC